rnacentral:rRNA from 1 species
GACGAACGCUGGCGGCGUGCUUAACACAUGCAAGUCGAACGGAAAGGCCCUGCUUUUGUGGGGUGCUCGAGUGGCGAACGGGUGAGUAACACGUGAGUAACCUGCCCUUGACUUUGGGAUAACUUCAGGAAACUGGGGCUAAUACCGGAUAGGAGCUCCUGCUGCAUGGUGGGGGUUGGAAAGUUUCGGCGGUUGGGGAUGGACUCGCGGCUUAUCAGCUUGUUGGUGGGGUAGUGGCUUACCAAGGCUUUGACGGGUAGCCGGCCUGAGAGGGUGACCGGCCACAUUGGGACUGGGAUACGGCCCAGACUCCUACGGGAGGCAGCAGUGGGGAAUAUUGCACAAUGGGCGGAAGCCUGAUGCAGCAACGCCGCGUGCGGGAUGACGGCAUUCGGGUUGUAAACCGCUUUCGCCUGUGACGAAGCGUGAGUGACGGUAAUGGAUAAAGAAGCACCGGCUAACUACGU